rnacentral:rRNA from 1 species
AGAGUUUGAUCCUGGCUCAGAACGAACGUUAGCGGUGUGGAUUAGGCAUGCAAGUCGUGCGCGAAAGCCUUCGGGCGAGUAGAGCGGCGAAAGGGUGAGUAACACGUAACCAACGUACCCUUCAGAUCGGGAUAACCACUGGAAACGGUGGGCAAUACCGAAUGGUCCUAAGGGGAGACAUCUCUCCGAUGGUAAACGGUGGCUUCGGCUGCUGCUGAGGGAGCGGGUUGCGGCCUAUCAGCUUGUUGGUGGGGUAACGGCCUACCAAGGCAUUUACGGGUAGCGGGUCUGAGAGGAUGAUCCGUCACACUGGGACUGAGACACUGCCCAGACUCCUACGGGAGGCUGCAGUCGAGAAUCUUCCGCAAUGGGCGCAAGCCUGACGGAGCGACACCGCGUGCAGGAUGAAGGCCUUCGGGUUGUAAACUGCUGUCACGCUAUAGGAACCCACGGGUGUUAAUAGCGCCCGUGCUGACCAAAGCGAGAGGAAGUGCCGGCUAACUCCGUGCCAGCAGCCGCGGUAAUACGGAGGGCGCAAACGUUGUUCGGAAUCACUGGGCAUAAAGAGCACGUAGGCGGCUUGUUAAGUCGAAUGUGAAAUCCCCCGGCUCAACCGGGGAACGGCAUCCGAUACUGGCAGGCUCGAGGACGGUAGGGGUAAGUGGAACUCCAGGUGGAACGGUGAAAUGUGUAGAUAUC